AAUUAGUGAUGAGGACAUAUUCCUGUCAUAUCUUUAUAUCUUUCUUAUGCAUCAAAAGGCCAUUCUCUUUCAGUUUGUUUAAACGUAGUUAUAUGAUUUCUCAAUAC